rnacentral:rRNA from 1 species
UACGAGGGGGGCGAGCGUUGUUCGGAAUUAUUGGGCGUAAAGGGUGCGUAGGCGGUUCCGCAAGUCCUGUGUGAAAUCUUCGGGCUCAACUCGAAGUCUGCACGGGAAACUGCGGGGCUUGAGUACAGACGAGGUUGGCGGAAUGGACUGAGUAGCGGUGAAAUGCAUAGAUACAGUCCAGAACCCCGAUUGCGAAGGCAGCUGACUAGGCUGUUACUGACGCUGAGGCACGAAAGCGUGGGGAGCGAACAGG